CCUACGGGAGGCAGCAGUGAGGAAUAUUGGUCAAUGGCCGGAAGGCUGAACCAGCCAAGCCGCGUGAAGGACGAAGGUGCCAAGCAUUGUAAACUUCUUUUGUCAAGGGACAAAAUCAGGCUCGAGAGCCUGACCGAGGGUACUUGAAGAAAAAGCAUCGGCUAACUCCGUGCCAGCAGCCGCGGUAAUACGGAGGAUCCGAGCGUUAUCCGGAUUUAUUGGGUUGAAAGGGAGCGUAGGUGGAUUGUUAAGUCAGUUGUGAAAGUUUGCGGCUCAACCGUAAAAUUGCAGUUGAAACUGGCAGUCUUGAGUACAGUAGAGGUGGGCGGAAUUCGUGGUGUAGCGGUGAAAUGCUUAGAUAUCACGAAGAACUCCGAUUGCGAAGGCAGCUCACUGGACUGCAACUGACGUUGAGGCUCGAAAGCGUGGGGAGCAAACAGGAUUAGAUACCCUGGUAGUC
rnacentral:rRNA from 1 species